CUUUUGUUGUCAAACAGUAAGCCAUUAUUUAAAUUAUGGCGUGUGACUUUAGUCUCUUGUGGAAAAUCAUCGUGAAAGGACGUGCGAUCGUAACCGGCUUCGAUUCAACGCAAUUGCCUACAGAUUAAUGGUCCAACUUCAAAGGCGGGAAAACUUUCAAUAUGGACGCCAUUAUACUUUUUCAAAGAGAACUUUGAUAUUUUGCUUGUAUACUGUUUCCAAGGGGGGCGUAAAUCGAUACGAAACACUGGCGGGCGAUAUUCCAGCCCAAUGUCGGAUAUCCAACAAUGCCGCCGUCUUAGUCCGCUUUCCAACUACUUGGCGUCUGCCCAAGCACCGACUGUUACUACUUGUUGCGGACGUCCAACGCGCCACUACACACCAACGAUAUUGUCCUUGUUCCAUCCUCUGCCUUCGUCCUCGUUCCACGAAACAAAUGGAACGUCUCCGAGAUAUUACUCUGCCUCGAUAUUAUUAUUUUCCUUCCUCUCCUUUUUUUUUCCUUACCGGGGAGGAGGGAGGGGAAAAAGUAAGU